UGGCGCAGUGGUUAACGAAUCCGACUAGGAACCAUGAGGUUGCGGGUUCGAUCCCUGGCCUUGCUCAGUGGGUUAACGAUCCGGCGUUUCCGUGAGCUGUGGUGUAGGUUGCAGACGCGGCUCGGAUCCAGCGUUGCUAUGGCUCUGGCGUAGGCCGGUGGCCACAGCUCCGAUUCGACCCCUAGCCUGGGAACCUCCAUAUGCCGCGGGCAUUUCUACCCUUCCAAACAGAAUGGCUAUCCUCCAGAGUUUAGACAACUGGUCCACACUGAAGACAUUGUUUCUGAAAGAGUUCCCAUGACAACCUCCCUCUUCAAGGGUAUAGAGAAUUUAUUCAAAGUCAGAUACAGACUGGCCAAACCACCUUCUACAAAGCGGACAGGAAAAAAGAGCCUACAGAAAAGGUAGGAGUUGUUAUAAAAUUGCCUUAAUUCCGCUCUCUCUGCGUUACAAGCCGGGGGUGGGUAGUGGACUGCCGUGCUGUGUGCUCCA
rnacentral:lncRNA from 1 species